AGCGAACGCUGGCGGCAGGCCUAACACAUGCAAGUCGAACGAACUCUUCGGAGUUAGUGGCGGACGGGUGAGUAACACGUGGGAACGUGCCUUUUGGUUCGGAAUAACUCAGGGAAACUUGUGCUAAUACCGAAUGUGCCCUUCGGGGGAAAGAUUUAUCGCCAUUAGAGCGGCCCGCGUCUGAUUAGCUAGUUGGUGAGGUAACGGCUCACCAAGGCGACGAUCAGUAGCUGGUCUGAGAGGAUGACCAGCCACACUGGGACUGAGACACGGCCCAGACUACUACGGGAGGCAGCAGUGGGGAAUCUUGCGCAAUGGGCGAAAGCCUGACGCAGCCAUGCCGCGUGAAUGAUGAAGGUCUUAGGAUUGUAAAAUUCUUUCACCGGGGACGAUAAUGACGGUACCCGGAGAAGAAGCCCCGGCUAACUUCGU
rnacentral:rRNA from 1 species